UGGACCUCAGAUCAGGCAAGAUUACCCGCUGAGUUUAAGCAUAUCACUAAGCGGAGGAAAAGAAACUAAC
rnacentral:rRNA from 4 species